CACCUCUCUGCUCCGGCCGCGUCCACCGACGUCGGCCCCGGCCCUUUCUGGCGGACCGCGCCCACCACCGGUCGCCACCGUCUUCCUCAGCGCCGGCCGCCCCUUCAGCUCCGCCCCUCUCUGGUGGAUAGCGUCGGCCGCGCCCCAACCUCUUCUGCUCGACGGCGCCGACUGCCACCCGCCCCGACUGCUACUAUUCCGUGCCUGGGCACGUGCCGCAAUCCUCCCCGCGCUUGCCCGCGACCCCGUGCCAGCCGAGCCGCGCCGCCGCGCCGCCAGCGCCUCCUGCUUCUGCCCGCCG
rnacentral:misc_RNA from 1 species